GGUCAUCCUCAUCCCAUGCACGGAUGGGAAAGUGUUGUGCUCCGGUGUCCUGGCCAUGAUUGGCAGGUCUCUGUGAUUGGCAGGUCUCUGUGAUUGGCAGGAAGCAGGAUUGGAGCUCAAGCUCUGCAGGGCAUCCUCUGCAUUCCUCAUAUGGUGCCUGUGCAAACCUGGACAGGCGACAAGUAGAAGUCAAGCCAUGGAAGACAGCUCUCUGCUGCUUUUGAACUUGUUCCUCCUUCA
rnacentral:lncRNA from 1 species